GCCUGCUAUGUAUAACUUAGUGGCAGACGGGUGAGUAAUGUAUAGGAAUCUACCUAGUAGUACGGAAUAAUUGUCGGAAACGGCAACUAAUACCGUAUACGCCCUACGGGGGAAAAAUUUAUUGCUAUUAGAUGAGCCUAUAUUAGAUUAGCUAGUUGGUGGAGUAAUAGCCUACCAAGGCAAUGAUCUAUAGCUGAUCUGAGAGGAUGAUCAGCCACACUGGAACUGAGAUACGGUCCAGACUUCUACGGGAGGCAGCAGUGGGGAAUAUUGGACAAUGGGCGAAAGCCUGAUCCAGCCAUGUCGCAUGAGUGAAGAAGGCCUUUGGGUUGUAAAGCCCUUUUAGUGAGGAAGAUAAUGACGGUACUCACAGAAGAAGUCCUGGCUAACUCCGUGCCAGCAGCCGCGGUAAUACGGAGAGGGCUAGCGUUAUUCGGAAUUAUUGGGCGUAAAGGGCGCGUAGGCUGAUUAAUAAGUUAAAAGUGAAAUCCCAAGGCUUAACCUUGGAAUUGCUUUUAAAACUAUUAAUCUAGAGAUUGAAAGAGGAUAGAGGAAUUCCUGAUGUAGAGGUAAAAUUCGUAAAUAUUAGGAGGAACACCAGUGGCGAACGCGUCUAUCUGGUUCAAAUCUGACGCUGAGCGCGAAAGCGUGGGGAGCAAACAGGAUUAGAUACCCUGGUAGUCCACGCUGUAAACGAUGAAUGUUAAAUAUGGGAAGUUUACUUUCUGUAUUACAGCUAACGCGUUAAACAUUCCGCCUGGGGACUACGUCCGCAGGAUUAAAACUCAAGAUUGACCGGGACCCGCACAGCGUGAGCAUGUGGUUAUUUCGAUGCAACGCGAAAACCCUACCACUCCUGACAUUGAA
rnacentral:rRNA from 1 species